AAGCAGCCUGUGAGGAAGAGGACCCUGAGUGCGGCCCUCUGGCCCCGCGCGGGGGGGAAAGCCCUGUGUGCCUCAGAGUGAAAGUGGAGAUCUCGUGUCCUGCCCCUAGCGGCGUCUGGUCCACAGACAACAACACUCAGAGACUUAGCCGCUCGCUCGCUCGCUCGCUUGCUUGCUUUUUUUAAGCUUGGGAUCGCUGCACAAGUGCAAAGGGUUGUUACUCUUGGACUUGGAACCACUGUGGAGACGCAGGAAGCCUGGCUAAGGUCUUUCUGUGGAGAUGGUUGACAGACACCGCCAGCUCCCGAGAGAAUUCCACUAAAGCCUUUGAUUCAGAGAAGCAAAAGAUUCAAGAGACACUCCAGCUGAGGCACUCUGCCUCACCGCUUCAGCUCCUACUCCCCUCAGCAGAGCCCCAGGAGGAGACUGGAGAGGGGAGGAGGUCUGUGUGCCCACCGCACUAGGGCUUUAAAAGGGCAGGACUCUGGGGAGUAAACGAAAUGAAUUCCCAAGCUCCAUCCACUCAUGUAUAAGGAAAGGGAAAGUGACUACUUGUCUUUGUUCUUAAUGGCAAAGAUGGAGCUGCGAGCCUCUGGCAAGGAAGGAGAGAGGGAAGAAAAGCUUUCGUAGGAUAACAAGAAAACAGCCAAAAGCGUCCUUCUGUGUCAGCCCGGCAGCAUUUGGGAAAUCGGGGGCUUUACCCGUUCUGCUUCAUUAAGUUGCUGCAGAAAGGAAAAAUAAAUAAAUAAAUUGUGAUCUCACCUCCAGAUCCAUAGGCUUCUGCCAGAAGCAUGUUGCUGAGAAGAAAUGUGCGUACCCAAGGCAACAGCAUCCUCGCCUCUUCCGGCUUGCAGGUGUCCGAAUGGGGUCUCCUUGGCAGCAGUCUUGUCUCCUAGAUCCCAGCCUUGCAGUGAGACCAACCCUUGUUAUGCUCUUCUGGUAAACAGCCUCUCUUUAGAACUGGGACCUUCCCAGCUAGCUUGCUGCAGCCGAGGUGUUUUUCAGCUGAAAGGCGCCCCCUGGGUCCUAAGCCUCCUAGAUCGUACCAGAUCGCUAACCCUGAGCCAAGAGAGGAACUCAGCCAAGUCAAGAGUGGCAGAGAGGUUUUGCUUAGCCGCAGAUCCCUGUGAGACCUGCACGACCGCAUCCCCAGGCGUUGCCUCUUUUUCCAUCUGUUGCUGGGGAUUAAACAAGGGUCCACAUAUAUAUGCUAGAUGCAUACAAGUACUCCUGAUGGCAGAGGACUGGAGCCAGAGGCCAAUUCUGGAAGAGAAAAUAGAACACUGUGGUGGAACACUCCAGCCAGUCCAGACAGGCUGGAGGAGGAAAAGAAGAGCUUGCCGAAAACAGUCCUGGAAGUGUAGCUUUCUAUACAGGUUCCUCCAUGGCUGUCCUGGAAUUGACUCUGUAAAUCAGGCUGGCCUUGAACUCAGAGAUCUGCUUGCCCCUGCCUGCCUGAGUUCUGGGAUUAAAGAUGUGUGCUACAGCUACCUGGCUAUGAUUUCAAAAUUGUAAAGGAGUAAUAAAUAGGAACUUCUUUGAUGUGACAAAGAAUAUCUGUGAACACUGAACUAACAUUGUAGUUAACUUACAAGUUUUCACUACUGUGGAGAGGAACAAGAAAGGAUUGCUCUCAUUCCACUCCUCCUUGUACUGCAUGGGAAGUCACAGAAUAUGUCAUGAUUACAAAAAGAAAUAAACAAAGCUUAGAAGGCUGAAAAGACCCUGUCUGUGUUCACAGGUGACUAUGCAUCUCUAGAAAAUCUAAAGACUGGCAGGAAAGUUGUAAUUAAUAAGCCACUGCAGAGAAGGCUUCACCAUGUAAGGUUGAUAUACAAAAUUCAGUUGCUUCCCAAUAGAAAAUGGAAUGUAAGGCAUAGAUUUAACAAAAAGCCUACAAAACCCUGAUGAACAAAAUCAGAGAACUAAAGGGGAGAUAUUCCAGCAGUGGCACACAUGCCUAUAAUCUCACCACUCAGGGAGGCAGAGGCAGGUGAAUCACUGUAGUUCAAGGCCAGCCUGAUAUACAGAGCAAGUCCAGGACAGCCAAGGCUACACAGAGAAACCUUGUCUCAAAACAAACAAACAAACAAAACAAAACAAAACAAAACAAAAAAAAAAAGAAAGAAAAGGAAGGUAUUCCAUGUUUGUGGAUAGGUGGACUCAAGGUUGCCAAGAUGUGAGUCCUUCCAACCUGAUGCAUAGAUUCAUUACAGUCCCAAAGUCCCAGUAAGUUAUUUUGUGGCUAUAAACAAACUGAUCCUAAAGUUUACAUGGGGAGAGAAAAAAAGACUCAGAAUAGCCAAACCAGCACUGAAGAGAGUAUACGUGGAGGACUAACAUUCUCUGAUCCUCAGACUCAAAAUGAGACGGGUGGCAAGAUGGCUCAGUGUGUAAUGGCACUUGCCAUCAAGCAUGACUGAGCGCCAUCCCGGAGACCCACAUGCUAGAAAGAGACAACCUAACAACCAACUGAAAGUUGUCCUCUGACUUCCACAUUUAAGCCACACAAAUAACAAUACAUGCACAUAAAAAAUAAUGAAUGCAGAAUAAAACCUCCUUACACUAAGCCUUUUACUGUGAGAGAAGACAAAUAGAUCAGUGCAAAAAUAAGGCCCAGGGCUGGAGAGAUGGCUGAGAGGUUAAGAGGACUGGCUGUUCUUCCAAAGGUCCUGAGUUCAAUUUCCAGAAACCACAUGUGGCUCACAACCAUCUAUAGUGAGAUCUGGUGCCCUCUUCCAGUGUACAGGCACACGUGCAGGCAAAAUGCUUUAUAAUAAAUCUUUUUAAAAAAAAAUAGGGUCCAAAAAUAGAUCUAGAAAUACUAUAAACUGAUUUUUUAAGGUGGCUCUCACUAUGUUGCCCAGACCAAUCUUGUACUCCUGAGCUCAACUGAUCCUCCUGAGUCAGCCUUGGUCCUCUCACAUAGCUAGAACUACAGGCGAGUUGCCACUGUUUCCAGUGGAGAAACUGAUCUUUGACAAAGGAACAAAAACAGUACAGUGGAAACAAGAUAUUUUUCCCAAGGAUUUUUCCCCAGAACUAUAUAGC